rnacentral:misc_RNA from 1 species
UCACCAGACUAUGAAAUACUCUGCCAUCUGGAAAUUGUUUAAUAUUAAUGCUAAAUGCAAAUUAUAUAAGGAAUUUCGUACUCUGGCUUGUUCCUAUUUUCUUAAUAUCAAUAAUUAGAGCUAUUUACAUCCGAGGAAUAUUGAACUUAGGGAAAUUCUUGCCCGACUUGGUCUACCAUAACCCAAGCAACAAACGAAAAUUCAGCGCUAGCGGGCAUGCCCUGGGAUCAAACAUAAACAAACUAGACUUCAAUGCAAAAUAAACCUAAAGAUCAUGGGAAGAAUUAACCUG